rnacentral:rRNA from 1 species
GAUAAACGCUGGCGGCGCACAUAAGACAUGCAAGUUGAACGGACUUAAUCGAAAUAUUUAUAUUUUGAAGCGGUUAGUGGCGGACUGGUGAGUAACGCGUAAGGAACCUGCCUAUUAGAGGGGAAUAACAGUGAGAAAUCAUUGCUAAUACCGCAUAUGCCAUAGAUAUCACAUGAUAACAGUGGGAAAGGAGCAAUCCUCUAAUAGAUGGCCUUGCGUCUGAUUAGAUAGUUGGUGGGGUAACGGCCUACCAAGUCGACGAUCAGUAGCCGGACUGAGAGGUUGAACGGCCACAUCGGGACUGAGAUACGGCCCAGACUCCUACGGGAGGCAGCAGUCGGGAAUAUUGCGCAAUGGAGGAAACUCUGACGCAGUGACGCCGCGUAUAGGAAGAAGGUUUUCGGAUUGUAAACUAUUGUCGUUAGGGAAGAGAAAGGACAGUACCUAAGGAGGAAGCUCCGGCUAACUACGUG